UACGGGGGGGCAAGCGGUUGUUCGGAAUUACUGGGCGUAAAGGGCGCAGGUAGGCGGUCAGACCAAGGUCGAGUGUGAAAUUCCAGGCUUAACUCUGGCGCGCUCGCUCGAUACUGGUCGGCUAGAGUGUGGAAGAGGAUGCUGGAAUUCCGGUGUAGCGGUGAAAUGCGUAGAUAUCGGGAGGAACACCAGUGGCGAAGGCGGGCAUCUGGGCCAACACUGACGCUGAGGCGCGAAAGCUAGGGGAGCAAACAGGGAUUAAGAAACCCGUGAGUAGUCCGAG
rnacentral:rRNA from 1 species